ACGUAGGGUGCGAGCGUUGUCCGGAAUUACUGGGCGUAAAGAGCUCGUAGGUGGUUUGUCGCGUUGUUCGUGAAAUCUCACAGCUUAACUGUGAGCGUGCGAGCGAUACGGGCAGACUGGAGUACUGCAGGGGAGACUGGAAUUCCUGGUGUAGCGGUGGAAUGCGCAGAUAUCAGGAGGAACACCGGUGGCGAAGGCGGGUCUCUGGGCAGUAACUGACGCUGAGGAGCGAAAGCGUGGGGAGCGAACAGG
rnacentral:rRNA from 1 species